GAGCCCGCACAAGCAGUGGAGUAUGUGGUUUAAUUCGACGCAACGCGAAGAACCUUACCAGAGCUUGACAUGCAUAUUGAAAGAUUGGGUAAUGCCGGUCUGUCCUUCGGGACAAUAUGAACAGGUGGUGCAUGGUUGUCGUCAGCUCGUGUCGUGAGAUGUUGGGUUAAGUCCCGCAACGAGCGCAACCCUUACGGUCAGUUGCUACGAAAGAGCACUCUGGCCGGACUGCCGUUGACAAAACGGAGGAAGGUGGGGACGACGUCAAAUCAUCAUGCCCCUUACGCCCUGGGCUACACACGUACUACAAUGGCGCAAACAAAGGGAAGCUAAGCCGCGAGGCGGAGCAAAUCCCCCAAAAGGCGUCCCAGUUCGGACUGCAGGCUGCAACUCGCCUGCACGAAGUUGGAAUUGCUAGUAAUCGCGGAUCAGCAUGCCGCGGUGAAUACGUUCCCGGGCUUU
rnacentral:rRNA from 1 species